rnacentral:rRNA from 1 species
CCUACGGGAGGCAGCAGUGAGGAAUAUUGGUCAAUGGACGAGAGUCUGAACCAGCCAAGUAGCGUGAAGGAUGACUGCCCUAUGGGUUGUAAACUUCUUUUAUAUGGGAAUAACAUGUUCCACGUGUGGGAUUUUGUAUGUACCAUAUGAAUAAGGAUCGGCUAACUCCGUGCCAGCAGCCGCGGUAAUACGGAGGAUCCGAGCGUUAUCCGGAUUUAUUGGGUUUAAAGGGAGCGUAGGUGGAUUGUUAAGUCAGUUGUGAAAGUUUGCGGCUCAACCGUAAAAUUGCAGUGGAAACUGGCAGUCUUGAGUACAGUAGAGGUGGGCGGAAUUCGUGGUGUAGCGGUGAAAUGCUUAGAUAUCACGAAGAACUCCGAUUGCGAAGGCAGUUCACUGGACUGCAACUGACACUGAGGCUCGAAAGUGUGGGUAUCAAACAGGAUUAGAUACCCUUGUAGUC